rnacentral:misc_RNA from 1 species
AACGCACAUUGCGCCCGGUAGUAAUCUGCCGGGCAUGCCUGUCCGAGCGUCAUUUCAGCCCUCGACCCGCUAUUCGCGUAGCUGGAUCGGUGUUGGGGCACUACGGUGGAAUACCCGUAGGCUCCGAAAUGAAGUGGCGGUCCCGCCGCGGCGCCCCCAUGCGUAGUAACAUCUCGUCUCGCAUCGGGUCCCGGCGGAGGCCUGCCGUCAAGCCUAUUUCUAAUUACAGAUGGUUUGACCUCGGAUCAGGUAGGGUUACCCGCUGAACUUAA